GAAGCUCGCCAGGCCGUCGCUGGUGCAAUCUGGGAAACCAGGCACUGGAGGAACGUCCGGACUGCACAGGACAGCGCAGGAGGUAACACCUCUCCACCGCGAGGUGAGGAUCAGAGCAACAGAGACGAGUCACUUUGGGGCCGCACCGAAGACGCAAGUCUGCAGUGCGAGGCCCAAGGUGGGUGAAACGGGCAAUCUCUGCGCGCAGCAAUACCAAGUAGGCCAACGUUGAGGCGGUCCGCUGAGUUGGCGGGUAGGUAGCACCGAGCCGGGCAGGCAACUCCCGGCCCAGAGGAAUGGCGGUCACGCGCCGGGCAACCGGCGUGCACAGAAUCCGGCGUAUCGGCGGGCUUCACAC
rnacentral:RNase_P_RNA from 1 species